rnacentral:tRNA from 1 species
CAUUAAGAAGCUAAUACAGCAUUAACCUUUUAAGUUGAAGAUUGAAGGUACCCAACCCCUCCUUAAUGA